rnacentral:lncRNA from 1 species
AUGCUGUGUCUGAAGAUUGUUAAAGUCGUGACCCAGACAGCCCUCCGCAUUCUCCUACCAGCGCUAGCUCGUAUCAUGGGGGUGAACCUGAGGAGUGGGGCAACCUCCCCAGAAUCCCAGUGCUCUCUGACAGGGUCUGAGGAUUCCUUAGGCGGUCUGGAUGAGAGAGAGAAAAGGCUGCUGAUCAGUGAGAUGAACUACUGGACUAAGGAGAGGAGGAGGAAUGGCAGUGCAGGAUGCCACCAAAAAUCCACUCGCAGGACCUCAUCACCAUGCUGUUUGCCUAAGAGGUCCCAGACCUCAUUGCAGAGCUUGCCUGCAACUAGAGAGGCUCCCCUCAUGGAGGAGCCUCUGAAGGCUCUUUUUGGGGUAACGGAAGAGAGCCUUCUGAUAUCCCUGGUUGAGGGUCACUCCAACCCCACCUCCUCCAGCUCCUCCGAGUUGAGCUGUGCUAUCGUGGGGGAGGUGGUACACCAGCUUAACUCUGGCCUCUCAGUGGCCAUUCAGGCCAGCCCGGGGAGUUGCCCCCCUAUGGACAGUCAGGACAUAGCAGCAGGCAAGGAGGUCAUUCUAGUAGCCUCGGUUCAGAUCCUGGCCGAGCUACAGAGCCAAACAUCUGAGCCAGAGUGGGUAGGGUUUAUCGAGCCCCUCAUGGACCCUGUGACCGAUGAUGUGCUGGAGGCCAUUGUCGGCACAAUGGACAAAAUGGCACAGGACUUCAACAUCCUAUUGGAUCUGGCCAAGAAGAUGACAAUCUUGGGGUCUAAAUUUCUGACCAAUCUUCAAUGUGACCUAGAUGUUGAGUGUCCAUCUGGGAAGGAAGGGACCACUCACUUUCUCAAAGAGACUGGAUCCUCUACCAGUGUGGUGGCCAGAAAGAUUCAGACCCUCUCUAGCCCCGACUUUCAGUCUAAAGCCCUGAAGGCGGUUAGCACCAUCCUUACAAGGAAAGUCAGCAGCUCUUCUGGCAUGGCUCCUUCCUCUAGGCCUUCUAGUGCUGCUCCUAGCCUUACUGAAGCCCCGCUGAAUACCAGCUGCACAGCCCUGACAUCUGUAACCUCCACUGCCACAGUGAUUGUUAAGGCAUUUGUGGGAGGCAUGGAGACGAUAGCAUCAUUUGAAGACACAUGUGAAGCAGUUGAUUGGCCAGUUCCUGUAAAUGACCACAAAACAGGGUCUUCACAGAAGAUAACCUUCUCUCUAGCCGGCACACUCUAUGGCCGUAUACGAGCAAAGCUGAGGGACCUUUUAACUCUAGCCGCUCGAGAAGAAGGUGUGGCAAAGGAUGCUUCUCUUCGGGAGUCUUCAGACACCCUGGAAAAGGCAACUGUUUCAACUGUUGAGGUCCAGUUACCCAGCACCGAACACAGUAGAGUUCACAGAGAGAGCCAACCAAUACCAGCUCUCUGUCUCUCCAAUCUGGAUACCAGUACUCAAGAAGUUCUUAGCAGUGUUUUUUCCAUCUACAAGUCAGAGUUAUCAAAAGUGGAGAGUAAAUCCUUAGCCGUUGUCAGUUCAUCUGAUGAGUCCCUAGAGGCUUGUUGGUUUGUUGAUGGUGUCCUAUCAAAGCUUGAUGACUAUACUAUUUCCCAGUCACCCUCACCCAAUGAAGACUUGAGCGUGAGUACUCAAUAUUCUCAACUGAGCUCAGAAGAGAGUGUCAGAAUCACAGAGUCCUCAACUAGUCUGAUUCAGAGCAUUAAGAAGCUCUCUAGCAAUGACUUUCAGACUCAGGCAGAAGAGGCAGUGAGUAAAGUGCUGAUGAGAUCCAGUCAUUCCUUUAUCACACAGAUCAGCCAUACUGGUCUUCAGAAAAGUCUGCAGGCUGGCUUAUCAUCUAACUCACCAUCAGAGAUCCAUGUCCUUUCAGAAUCCAUGUCCUCCAUGUCCUCUGAGAAUACAGCCUCUGGAUUAGUGGAAACCUUUGUCAAAGGAAUGGCGACUAUUUUCCAGAAAAAUGAGUCCACUGACACUGUGCUACUGGAAAGAAGUGGGAGAGUUUCACAGUGCUCCCACGGGGGCUCCCAACUGGAUGAUACUGAAUUGAGUGUUAAAAUAUCAGAGGAGAAGCUUUGGUCAACAGCUAAGAACAUCUGCGUCAGUAUGAAGAACACACUUAAGGAUUUCUUCACAGGGCUGAAGCCAUCCGGAUCCGAAAGGACAGAAAUGGCUUCUUCCAAAGAGACCCUUGGGGAAAUCCUGGUUGCUAUCCAGAGUGAAAUCUCAAACUUCGGGCGAAUGAAGGAUUCCAGGGAGCUCCUUCAGAUCAAUGAUAUGGUAGGAACUAUGGUGAAGGAGAUUGAGAAAAGUGAGGAUGACAGUGAACAAGUCUGCCAAGACAUCCCUCGAACCUGUUCAUCUUUAUCCACUUCUUUAAAUGGUCGUAGUUCCUUGUCCAGCUCUUCAAAGGGUCCUAGGUCAGAGUGUGAGUUAGAGAUCAACCUCCCUGGCACUCCCAUCCCUGACAAAGUGCCUUUUGAUCUGACCUGCCCCAUCGUCAGGAGCUCCUGCAUCGACACCAGGGACUCUAAAAUGCCAGAGAUUUCUACAAGUGACCUAAAGACAAAGAUGAUGGCACACACAGAUGAACCCCUGCAUUGUAACAGUCCAAUGACUGACAGCAGCCGACCACCGAGUGCUAAAGUCUCUUUUCGAUCCUCCACUCCGUCUUUCACCAGCAAGGGAACCUCUUUGGUACCAAAGGGAGAGGGUAUUGACAUUGAAGAGAAGGAGGUGUGUAUCCCCAGCAGCUCUGGCCAUCUGAGGGAGCUCUUAAUCAUCCCGGACAUCAGCAGUGCCACUACAUUCCCACUUCAGUACUUGAUGGACUCCAGCAAAGAUGAUGGCAUCUGUUUUGUCACCAUACUGGUGAUAAGGUUGCUAUCGGAGAUCAGACCCUCAGCCCUAGAUGGACCCUCCCAACAGGCAGCAGAUCUGACAGAAACAUCUCAGCAACUCAUCAGACAAGUCCUGUCUGAGUUCUGUGCUGCAUCUAGAUUAUCCAGGACACAGGCAUAUUCCCAGAACCUGAACAUCCAAAGGGUGUUCAGAGGUGUACAUAAAAACCUCAUGGAGGAGUUUGGCUCUUAUAACACCCUGCAAGCUGCUAUGUCCUCCCAGGACCCUGCAUUUGACAGAGUCCUGGUAAAUUCCUUGACCCAGCAGCUGGUACAGGGAUGCAAGGAGGCGUCAAGACCAGCUUCUGCUGCAACAAACCCAUCAGACCAGGCUGAGACGGAGAGGGGGGCUGAGCAGAAAGCAAGAAGGAGCUUCCUUUGCUUUUCAAUGACCAAACUCAGGAUCAACUUCAAGGUAUAGCAGGGAGUUAGCAUUUGUUUUUUGUUCCAGUUAGGUGCUGAUGUUAUUGAUGUGGCUAUGAUAAGACAAAUACAUUAAAUAAAUGUUUUAUUCAUCACUAAAUUGUUGCCUUGGAUUCAGAAGUGUUCCAUUUAUUUAUUCUCUGUACCAUUUUCUUUACCUUUCAUCUGUUAGCGUUCCAAGAGAGCAAACAAAAAGGACUGUCAUUCAGUCCAGGAACAGACUGAGAUUCCCUCUACUGAUGGACAUUGCAUAGGUAAGGAUGUUUAAGAGCUCUGCUAUAGCUUGUAGUUUUGGUUUAGGUGUGUGUUAGAAACAUAGGUAUGCCUACCAAACUCAUAGCACUUGUUAUUUUUCAACGUUACUAUUCUGCAUCUCUCUCCCCCCCAGUUGGAGAGGUUUCUCCCUCCAUAUCUCAGUCUGUCAAAAAACGAUCCUUGAUUGUCAGGGUCUUUUCAGCAAUGAUGAAGCCAUUUAGGCGCUUCACCAAGAAGAACCUGUAACCUGUUACGCUGCAUGAAGAACUACUUAUGUAACAGCAAGACUUUUGACAAGAGGAAUUUCUGCAUGUCUACCCUUUCAAAGUCUAUUUGAUCAAAUAAAUGCCAUUGAUUUUACAAGAAUUUCAAGUGUUUUGGAAGAUUGAUAAUAAUAAAGCAGAUUUUCUCAGAGAAAUGCACUAGUUCCCCCUUGGUUACACAUUUAUUGUGCAGUUUUUGAGUUGGCAGGACUUGGGGCAGCAGGUAGCCUUGUGGUUAGAGCAUUGGGCCAGUAACUGAAAGGUUGCUAGGUCAGAUCCCUGAGCUAACCAUGUAAAAAUAUGACGUUCUGCUCCUGAACAAGGUAGUUAACCCACUGUUCCUAAGCUGUCAUUGUAAAUAAGAAUUUGUUCUAAACUGACUUGUCUAGUAAAAUAAAUAAAAUAACCACAGCUUGACUCUAAUACAAUAGUUGCUGCAUAGACUGUCAGAUAACCAGAUGUUCUCUAUUAAUUUAGUUAGAUUGGUAAGAGCUUAUUAGCAGCAAGGGGAAAACACAUAGAGGAGAAUUAGCUAUCUGCAGCUAGAUCAACCCUCUGAGAUGUUUUCUAUAUGUUGAAAAUAUAAGGUCCAACAGUUGACAGUGUAUGUCAGAGCAAAAACCAAGCCAUGAGGUCGAAGGAAUUGUCCAUAGAACUCAGAGACAUGAUUGUGUCAAGACACAGAUCUGGUGAAGGGUACCAAAACGUUUCUGCAAUAUUGAAGGUCCCCAAGGACACAGUGGCCUCCAUCAUUCUUAAACGGAAGAAGUCUGGAACCACCAAGACUCUUCCUAGAGCUGGCCGCCAGGCCAAACUGAGCAAUCGGGGGAGAAGGGCAGUGGAGUAUCUUCAACAGCCAUAGGCCCAGGGAUUUCACAUCACAUUCCAUGAUGCAAUGCAGAAUACGGCUUCACACAGAACAAUCACCAAACCCAUAAGAUAACACUUAGCACAGCCAACCAUCAUGUAUCACAUGAAGAGGCAUGUGUGUUCUCCAGACGUGAUACCUUGUCAUGGACCUGCUGUUUCGAUCUUCGCUCUCUCUCUCCCUCUCCCCCACCUCUCUCUCUCCCUCUCUCUCUCUACCACACCUGUUGUCUCGACCUCUGAAUGUUCGGCUAUGAAAAGCCAACUGACAAUUACUCCGGAGGUGCUGACCUGUUGCACCCUCUGUAACCACAUUAUUUUGUUGACUCUGCUGGUCAUCUAUGAAGAAUGUUUGAACUACAGUACUUGAAGAACGAUCUGGCCUUACGAUCUGGCCAUGUACGCUUAUAAUCUCCACCGGCACAGCCAGAAGAGGACUAGCCACCCCUCAGAGCCUGGUUCCUCUCUAGGUUUCUUCCUAGGUUCCUGUUUUUCUAGAGAGUUUUUCCUAGCCACCGUGCUUCUAAAUCUGCAUUGCAUGCUAUUUGAGGUUUUAAGCUGGGUGUCGGAAUAAGCAUUUUGUGACAUCUGCCGAUGUAAAAAGAGCUUUAUAAAUAAAUUGUACUGAUUGAUUGAUGAUUGAUUGUAUGAAAUGGAGUAGCAUAUAUCCAUCAUGUAAAAUGAACAUUGAGCACUGUCUCCAUGGAGUAUAGCACUGCAGCCUUAGGCAAUGUAUAUUUACGUGGUGCAUAACAUUAUCUCAUAUCACAUGUAUGGCAAGACAUGAUUGAUGUAAUUAGAUGCUCUGGAGAGAUCCCACCCUCCUUCCCCAACACAUGUAGAAUGCUUAGAAACCACCAGAAACCUGUGAAAUAGAUCAACAGAUGAUGUUUUAUCUCCUCUCAAGGUCUGUUGAUUUACAGUAUCUCAGAAUCAGGAACUGUCAUAUCCCAUGUGAUAUGUCAAAACAAGUUGAUACAUGGUGCAUUGGGUUUGUAUUUAUUGUGGAUCCCCUUUAGCUGCAGCAGUUACUCUUUAUGGGGUCCAGUAAAAUGAAGGCAGUUAUAUAAUUGUAAAAACAUUCCCGAUACAUUCACAACAGAUUUCACAAAAUCCAUGUUCCUUUUUGAUUUCGGGGCAGGCUGUCAACAGCACGUACUGUGACACUAUGAUAAGUCAACAAUACCUCUAGGCAUAUCUGACGUCAUGUAUUUGAUAUCUUUAUGUGUAGGUUCAUGUCCAUAUUGACAUCAGUUCAUUGUGUUUGAGGACGGUUCACUGACC